AACGCGAAGAACCUUACCUGGGCUCGAAGCGUAGUGGACUGGGGUAGAAAUAUCUCUUUCCCGCAAGGGACUGCUACGUAGGUGCUGCAUGGCUGUCGUCAGCUCGUGUCGUGAGGUGUUGGGUUAAGUCCCGCAACGAGCGCAACCCUCGUCGUGUGUUGGUCCGAAAGGAUCUCUCACGCGAGACCGCCGGUGAGAAGCCGGAGGAAGGUGGGGAUGACGUCAAGUCAGCAUGGCCCUUACGUCUGGGGCUACACACGUGCUACAAUGGGUGCGACAACGAGUUCCAAGCUCGCGAGGGUAAGGCAAUCUCUUAAACGCAUCCUCAGUUCGGAUUGAAGGCUGCAACUCGCCUUCAUGAAGUCGGAAUCGCUAGUAAACGCAGAUCAGCUACGCUGCGUUGAAUACGUUCCCGGGCCUUGUACACACCGCCCGU
rnacentral:rRNA from 1 species